AGCGAGGGCUAGGGUAGGCGUAGAAAGGUCAUAAUCCACGUGUUCUGAGAACGCUACCAGCUGCACAUGCAUUCGCUGGCAAGCGAGGCUGCAGGCUUGCUGUUGACUGUGUUGACUGUGUUGACUGUGUUGUUGAGCUCCCUUCUUUACUUUAGUUUACUACUAGCACAUGUACAUGUAGUUGUUGUUUGCAAGGAGCGCAUCAUUUCCUUCUUCUCCUUUUUGUUUCGGAGGACAAGCCUUUACAGGGUGAAACAGAUUUAAGCAAGCCUUGUAGUCCUAUGCUUAGCACCGACGUUGUGCAGGAAACAGCAGAUUUGGGGGAAUUCUGCCCGUCAUUUACUCGUUCCGCAACUAAAGCAGCGCAGCAAACAAGCAUCUUCUCAACAUCUUGCUCGCUCACUCGCACAAAUUGUGAGUUGACAGCUCGUUCACGGACACCAUGUUCUGUCUCAACUCGAACGACGCUGGUAGCUUGAACUUGGUUGAUUGGUUCACCGUCCAAGUCAGCUAGCAUCUCGGUCAGGACAUCCGGGUGUACGUCCAAUAUUUGAGACACAUCGUCAGGAAGGUCAGACAGAAGUCCUUCUUCCUCAGCCAUCGUCAGCGCUCCUUCACACCACAAGUAGCAAUGAAACCAUUUUGGUGGUGUGGUUUGCUUUAUUGCUGAUCAGCUCAGUGAAGUCCCUAGAGCCAUCAAUGGGUACCCAUUCUUUCCACCAACCAGUGGACGAACACGAGGACAAAUCUUGCUGGGUAUUCCCAGAUAGGCUGAUGUUCUCCUCCUCUUCAUCCUGCGGCUAACAUCUCUUCUUUCUAGCUGAUCAGCUCAGUGACGUCCCCAGAGCCAACAGCGUACCCAUUCUUUC